AUGGCACCAGAGGCCGUGGCCCUCAUCCUGGGUUGGUGGCUGUUGGCAGCGAGCAGAGCACAGCAACUGUCCGCCGUCCUAGUGCCCCGACCAUCCCUGUCACUGCACCCCAGCCAGGGGGUGUCCCUGGGGGACACUGUCACCCUGCGCUGCCACCUGCCCCAGCCAGCUGCCUGGGUCGAGCUGUACCAGGAUGGACAGUUGAGAUCCAGAAAGGAAAUGGACCAGGAGCAGGACGUGGCUGAGUUCUCCUUGACUGGAAUUAAGCAGGAAGAUGCAGUGAGAUAUCAGUGCCAGUACCAGGGGUUGGAGCCUGCAGGGACAUCAGAGAGGAGUGACCCCGUGAAGCUGGUGGUGACAGAUCACAGGUAUCCCCCACCUGGCAUUUCCCUGAGCCCCAAAGAGCAUGUGGAGAUUGGGAAGAAACAUCACCAUCCAGUGCUGGAACAAGAAGUAUGGGGCCUCCUUCCUCCUGCACAAGGACGGGCACUCAGCCCCUAUCCAGCACCAGGAACCCGAUGAUGAGGGCACUGCCACCUUCACCCUUUUUGGGGUGACCCCAGCUGACUUCCGGCAUCUAUAGGUGCUCCUACCGCCUCGGGGGGUGCUGCCUUCUGUUCUCAACCCCCUGGGGAUAAUGUGACCCUGGAAGUGAUUCCCAGACCUGCAAUCCCAGGUGACAAUGGGGGUCCCAGCAGGAACCUGGUGGCAGUAGUGGUGGGGCGCUGGGUUGCUGCCAUUGUCUUCAUCAUCAUCCUCACUGUCUCUGUCCUCCUCGUUGCCCAGAGAAGACAAAUGCAGAGAGAUGAGAGGCCUGGUGCCACCCCCUGAAGCCCCGAGGUCGUGCAAUUGCAGGUGUCCCCCGGUGACAGCGAGGGUCUGACCUACACCCAGCUGCAAGCUGUGACCCCCAGCACCCACCCCCCUGGCUCUUCUACCACUCCUGAAACCCCCAUUAUCUACGCCGUGGUGGGCACGCGGGGACCCCGCUGAUGCCCCCCAGAUGUGUACGCAAACACGGGUGUGUUGUGUGCACACAUGGACUUCAAGGGUGCACAGUGCCAGUGUGCUCGGUGUGCUCACCACCACCUGUGAAUUACAGCCUUGUACCUGUGCAUGUGAACGCGUGGAUGUGUAUUAAACGGGUGUGCACCAUCCCAUGUGCACAACAGGUGUACAAACACACGUGUGGGACACGCUGAACUCUGUGCCUCUGUGUGUGUCUGUGCGAUGCCGUAUGUGUGCACCACCAGCUGUACACACUGCUGCUCAUGUGUGUCCUUAGCAUGUGCUCCCUGGGUCUGCACUACACGUGUGCCUCCACAGCACAUGCAUGUCAUCAACACCUGCCCCGUUCCUGCACCACAUUUGUCCCCACAGCACACGCGUGUCCUUUCCAUGUGCUCCCCACGGCGCAUCUCCAUCUCCACAAGCCAAACCAGCCCCCAUCCCACAGUGGUGUUGGGGCAGGA